CAUGUGGAAGACCGGCUUCAGCUCCGACGGGUCCAUGGAUGGCGCGGACGACGCCGGCCUCGCCGCCACCGUGGAAGUAAACGAGGCAGCCGGGUUCUCAUGGCUCGGAGAAGAAGAAGAAGAAGAAGAAGAAGAAGGCGAGAGGAGGAGGGAGGUGAGCUUCUUGGGGAGGAAAUAGAGGAGGCGGCUGAUGAGGCGAAGGCAAAGGAGGGAAAGCCUUACGAGGACAAUUGGCAACGGAGUCAGUUCCAUUGCGCGAUCUAUCGUGUGGUGCGGAAGGACUGGCGGUAGCGACGAGCUUUAAAGCAGCCAUGUCGCCCUUCGCCUCUC
rnacentral:lncRNA from 1 species